rnacentral:rRNA from 1 species
UACGUAGGGGGCUAGCGUUGUCCGGAAUCAUUGGGCGUAAAGAGCGUGUAGGCGGUCCGGUAAGUCCGCUGUGAAAGUCGGGGGCUCAACCCUCGAAUGCCGGUGGAUACUGUCGGGCUAGAGUGCGGAAGAGGCGAGUGGAAUUCCUGGUGUAGCGGUGGAAUGCGCAGAUAUCAGGAGGAACACCAAUAGCGAAGGCAGCUCGCUGGGACGGUACUGACGCUGAGGCACGAAAGCGUGGGGAGCAAACAGG